UACGUAGGGUGCAAGCGUUGUCCGGAAUUAUUGGGCGUAAAGAGCUCGUAGGCGGUUCGUCGCGUCGGCUGUGAAAACCCGGAGCUCAACUCCGGGCCUGCAGUCGAUACGGGCGGACUGGAGUUCGGCAGGGGAGACUGGAAUUCCUGGUGUAGCGGUGAAAUGCGUAGAGAUCGGGAGGAACACCAGUGGCGAAGGCGGCUACCUGGACCAGCACUGACACUGAGGCACGAAAGCGUGGGUAGCAAACAGG
rnacentral:rRNA from 1 species